UGGGGAAUUUUGGACAAUGGGGGCAACCCUGAUCCAGCAAUGCCGCGUGUGUGAAGAAGGUCUUCGGAUUGUAAAGCACUUUAAGUUGGGAGGAAGGGUUGUAGAUUAAUACUCUGCAAUUUUGACGUUACCGACAGAAUAAGCACCGGCUAACUCUGUGCCAGCAGCCGCGGUAAUACAGAGGGUGCAAGCGUUAAUCGGAAUUACUGGGCGUAAAGCGCGCGUAGGUGGUUAGUUAAGUUGGAUGUGAAAUCCCCGGGCUCAACCUGGGAACUGCAUUCAAAACUGACUGACUAGAGUAUGGUAGAGGGUGGUGGAAUUUCCUGUGUAGCGGUGAAAUGCGUAGAUAUAGGAAGGAACACCAGUGGCGAAGGCGACCACCUGGACUGAUACUGACACUGAGGUGCGAAAGCGUGGGGAGCAAACAGGAUUAGAUACCCCUGUAGUCCCUGAGCGGGCUGGCAAGGCGCAU
rnacentral:rRNA from 1 species